rnacentral:rRNA from 1 species
UCUCCUGGGAACGGGUGGUAAUGCCGGAUGCUCCGACUCCUCGCAUGGGGUGUCGGGAAAGAUUUCAUCGGUAUGGGAUGGGGUCGCGUCCUAUCAGGUAGUCGGCGGGGUAACGGCCCACCGAGCCUACGACGGGUAGCCGGCCUGAGAGGGCGACCGGCCACAUUGGGACUGAGAUACGGCCCAGACUCCUACGGGAGGCAGCAGUGGGGAAUAUUGCACAAUGGGCGCAAGCCUGAUGCAGCGACGCCGCGUGCGGGAUGACGGCCUUCGGGUUGUAAACCGCUUUUGAUCGGGAGCAAGCCUUCGGGUGAGUGUACCUUUCGAAUAAGCACCGGCUAACUACGUGCCAGCAGCCGCGGUAAUACGUAGGGUGCAAGCGUUAUCCGGAAUUAUUGGGCGUAAAGGGCUCGUAGGCGGUUCGUCGCGUCCGGUGUGAAAGUCCAUCGCUUAACGGUGGAUCUGCGCCGGGUACGGGCGGGCUGGAGUGCGGUAGGGGAGACUGGAAUUCCCGGUGUAACGGUGGAAUGUGUAGAUAUCGGAAAGAACACCA